rnacentral:rRNA from 1 species
UACGUAGGGUGCAAGCGUUGUCCGGAAUUAUUGGGCGUAAAGAGCUCGUAGGCGGUCUGUCGCGUCGGCUGUGAAAACCCGGGGCUCAACCUCGGGCCUGCAGUCGAUACGGGCAAACUAGAGUACUGCAGGGGAGACUGGAAUUCCUGGUGUAGCGGUGAAAUGCGUAGAUAUCAGGAGGAAUACCGAUGGCGAAGGCAGGUCUCUGGGCUGACACUGACGCUCAUGCACGAAAGCGUGGGGAGCAAACAGG